rnacentral:lncRNA from 1 species
CCGGAUUAGCGAGCCGAGCGAACCAAAACGACGAGGACGACGAGGGGAUCGGCUUUCUCCAAAGCGGGCCAAGCAUCCGGGGUCGGGAAGCCAACCAAAACGGCCCAACACUUGCUGCCAUACCCAUUUUCUGCAGCUACUGUCCACUGUUCGAUGAGGCCGAGAAUGGGCGGAUCCGGGGCUUGGAUGAGAUGGAAAAGGACCGAGGAAGGUUGAGGGGUCGAACCGGACCAAGGCGGGACCCGAACGGUGGCCGGAGGUGGCCGAAUGGCUUCGGCACGAGCUGUUGCAGCAGUUGCGACGCCAGGCGAGUGGGAGGCGGAGACGGUGCUACGGCGGGCCGGCGAGCACGCGUAGGCGGGGCGGGACGGACGCACGGCGGCGGCGGCGACGACGGCGUGCGAGCGGGUGGCCGGCCAUGGCUGCUUCUUCUUCUUCUCUGCAAAUUUUUCUUGUCCUUCGCACAAAGAACAUGGGGGAGUCGCACGGAAGAGAGAGAGGAAGAAGAGAGGGAGGAGAGAGAAGAAGGGGGGGCUUUUUCUUUUCUUUUUCUCUUUCUUUUAUUCAACAAAAAUGGCCCACCAUGACCUAGGAUGACAUCACACUCCACUAUCUCCCACAACCUCUUCCAAUGGGUGCAAUUCCAUUUUCCGCCGGGGCCUAAAACUUGUGCAACAAUGUCUUCAAUUCCACUUAAUUCUCUUCCAAUUAAAUCUUAAUCCCACUUGAAUUAAAUCAAAUUGACCCUCAUUAAUUCAUUCAACACCUCAUCAAUCAAAUUGGUAUUUUUUUCAUUACCAUUGUGGCGUAUUUGCAUCCCAAUUUCGCAAUCUCUGGCUUCAAUUGAACGAAAACGGCCCUAUUUAUCCAUUCGAAAUUAAAACCCGAAAAUCCGGAUGUCACAACUCUUCCCCCUUAUAAAGAUUUCGUCCUCGAAAUUUAAACUUUUACUAAUUCUUAACAAUGAGGUGAGGGUAUAGUCGUCUCAUAUCCUUUUCUCUUUCUCAGGUUGCUUUUUCUGCACUAAUGUUGCCAGAUCACUACUAUCUUGCCCAAACCACUUCGGAUCCAAAAUACUAAACACUUGCCCACUUAAAAUUCUAAAGGUCUUCAACAUAAAAUCUGCGAAGCUAAACUGGUGAUUAUCAGCGAUCUCAAGAUUAUCUCUGGUAACUGCGAUUGAAUCACUGAUUUCUGAACCAACUCUAGACCUGCGAUUUUCUGAUCUCUGAUCUCAACAACUGAAGUUCUGAACACUCUGCUUUGCGUUGAUUAAAAUAAACUAUCUGACUAAUCUGCUAAAAUUGGGAACCUCUGGUCAAGAUCUGAUAUAAUUCUGGCACUGAUCUUAGCAACUACAAUCACUGACUACUGUACAGACAUUGGCUUGUGAUCUUUCUUUCCUUGACUUCAUCUCUGCAAUUGAAAUUCUACACUUUAUGCUAUGCAUUGAUUAAGGAAGAACCUUCUGAAAAUUCUACCAAACUUAUAAUCUACGAUAUGGAUCCGAAAUAUAAUUCAUCCCCGGCACUCCAUGUUGGUGAAUUAUCUAAUGCUCGCACACUUCAGUAUACCCACUUUGUGACAAGACAGAGUCCUCAAUUUCUGAAAUCAAAUUUAGAUUGGCGGUUAAUUUCACUCCGACACGCUUUUAGUGUGACCUAGGCUAUUGGGUAGUGUUCAGAGCUUUUUAGGACAAAUGACUUGUGGUCGAUUUUCUUCGAACCACGAUGAACUCACUCGACACAUUGGCGACUCUCAAUUAUCGUGAAAAUCUUAAAGAUUCAAAUACGGACACAGGGUACCAAACCGACAGUAAAGUCAAAUUAGUGCCAGUCGACGAGAGUUUUCCAAUUUAGUGGAGUCACCCACGAUCGGUCAUUCAUCUCAGUCAAACCAACCUAUCUCUGAUCUUAAUUCGAUUUUUAACUGUGCCGUAAUGAUCUCUAAAGAUGAGCACGGUCGAAAAGUCGAUUUCUGGUCGAAUUCUCAAGUCUAUUUGCCUUAAGGUCCUUAAUAACUCACCCAACUAGUUUAGUUAUCUCGUAAGUGGCCAACUCAGAGAAAAAUACUGUAAUCGUGUUGAUGAAAUGCCCAAUUUAACCAAUCGAAAUCAGAGUUUGAAAAUUAGGAUGUCACACGCUCAAAACAAGAUCUAUUCAUAAUGUACCAAAGUGGACCAACUCCAUCUAUCGGUCGACUAUUAUUCUCAAAUGGUAUCAGUAAUCCCCUGAAUCCUUAGUAAGCUCAUCACAAUGUCCCAUUGUGAUAUAUUUUCAUUCUCACUUAGGACUCUCAAGUGAUGAUAAAAGUCCUCCUGGUUCACAUCACUGAACUUCCACUUACUGACAUCUCUGAUACUUGCAACUUGUUCAACGAUAUCUAUCUUCAUACCGAUCUACCAAUCUCGAUGAUGUAGAUUCUGACUCAUCUUCGCACUGUCUAGACGACUCUAAAUUGCUUUGAUGAACUUCCCAUAAGAUCUCUUCUUAAAUCUCCGUAUCGACAAUUACAUACAAUCGUUCUCAGAACCUUAGCAUUCUGCCUUUGGAAAUCUGAAAUCAAUCUCUCUCUCAUCUGCAUUCUCUUAUAGAAUCUUCUGAAUUUCUGAAUAUGUCCAUUGAAGCAUCUUGAUUAUGAUUAGUACUCUCGGCUCAAUUCUUUCUAGAGUGACAUAAAAUAUCAUAGUCAUAAUCCUUAAUGAGUUCCGUCCAGCGACACUGUCUCAUAUUCAACUCCCGAGGUCUCAACUGACGGGCCACAUACGCAACACGAGUCAUCCAAAACUCGCAUCUGCUAAGCUUAUUGUAAAAUCCAAGAGUACUCAAGGUCUGAAGUAUCAUCCUCGAACGUCUCUUGUGCCCCUCGGCACUCUUCGAACACACUAGGAUAACUUCAAUAAACACGAUCACAACUGAUUCAAGUACCCUUAAACAUUUCGCUCAUUAGACCCAAACAAACAGCUAAGGUGUCCAUCAAACCACACGGUAUUACAAUGAACUCAUAAUUGCCAUAUCGAGUACGAGAUGCUAACUUCGGUGUGUCUUUCUUCUUGAUUCUCAACUAAUGAUACCUUGACCUCCAGUCGAUCUUGAAGAAUAUCGAUAUACAAACACAAUGAAUCAACUUUCUUCCUCACGAAUAGAACGGGUGCUCCCCAAGGUUAUGCACUGGAAAGUAUGAAUCUCCUAUCCAACACUUCCUGCAUUUGCACCUUCAGUCCUUUUAACUCAGGUAAAACCAUCCGGUAAGGAGCCUUAGGAACUGGCUCUGGUCCGGGUGCUGAUUCAAUUGCAAACUUUAUUUCUCUUUCUGAUAGCAACUUGACAAAUCUUCAGAAAAUACCUUUAGAAAACUUAUGUACCACGAUUAAGUUUUCCAUAUUCGGCUCCUCAACUGACACAUCCAUUAUCCAUUAUAGUUGCCAAGUAGAUUCGGUAACCAACAACCAUAACCGGGUCACCUUUAGUGACGAAUAACAAUGAUUGAAGUUCCUCUUCAACUUUCAGUGCUUCAAAACUUUCACACGCUAACUGAACAAACUGAAUUAUAUCACUGCCAUGAUUCAUAAUAGCAGAAAGCUCCUCGAGCCAAACCUUUUCAUAAAUGACUUCCAAGUCAUACUUAAGCAACCCUUCAAGUACAACUAUAGUCAGAGACUCAUCUUUCUAUCACUUUAUUACCACGACGAAAAUCUUAUAACCUUCACUGAAAAUUCUGCUGUACUACUCUGAUAACAUCUCAAAAACAUUCUUCUUCUGAUUGAUGCAUGGUCAAUCCCUUCAUGCUCCUCUAGCCAUCCUAGCGGCGUCCAAUCUGCAGUAACGGUACUUACGCUCUCAUGGACUUACGCGGACAAUUCCUAACCCAAUGAUCGUGCUAGCCAUAUUCCAGCGUGCUCUCUUUUUACUCUGACAUUGGGCUGACUCACUCUCUUUUUCCACAAACUCAGCACACAAUCGGUGAGUCAUCUACUUCCCAUCAAGGAACAUCAUGCACCAUUCCUUGCACUGGGGUCUGUUCCAAGUACCCCACUAAAUGUCCCGUAGCAUGUUUCCCAUGUUCUGUCUUAUCAACGACGAUGCAGAAACAGUUAUAGUUCCAUCCAUCUAUACGAGCCAUCUUUGAUCAAAUGGCUUUACUGGCGACACCUGUAACAAGUCAUUUCCCUCUUACAGCAUGGGACAGACCCACGUCCUUUCUUACAGACACAACAUACAUCAAUCAAGUUGAGCACUGACUUUCGAAUUCUACUCUUCCAGUUGGGUGAAACAGGGCAUCUUUCUUUUGACAUCGGCCUUUCUCCCCAAUCAAUUUCUACCUCUAUCUAAACUGAACCUUGACUCAGAUACAGCGGCUUAAUCCUCGAUCACAACUCCAGAUUAGACCUCAACAGGCGCAACAACAACAGCGGUCACAACACUGGCAGCGGUAGACACAACGGCAACAGCAAUGGCUCGAUCCUGAACUUACUGACCCAACAAGCUUCCAAGGAACGCUAGUGCCUGAACGAUCCCAUCAAACCUAGGAUCAUUCGGUGCUACUACACUCUAAGUACCGACUUGCGGCGGUACUCUCACACUCGCGCUGGUCUAAGCCUGCGCCCUACCUCGGGUACCAACUCUUGUCAGCAUCCUACCCCGAGGUAUAGGUCCUACCGGCCUUCUCCAAGGAGUUCUCCACUCCUGGUCACUCAUCCUACAGGCUCUUUAUAGACACCUGUCUUCCGAUUCUAACAUCAAGUUAGAAUUUGAGUGACCCAACAAACAUACUACCAAUCAACUAUCAACCACAUGCAUCAGCAUAUUAAAAGCCUUUCCUACUAACUAUCCCAUGACUCAUCGCACCUUAUCACUCCAUACACAGACCAUGCUCUGAUACCACUUAAACGGGGAUGUCACGCCCCGAACCUCGAGGUAUGCCAACAUCCCACCAUGGUCAUGCAAUUGCGACAUUCCCAGGUAGUGUCGCUGACCCUAUUCAUUUAUUAUUGCGCAAGCGGAACGUAUUAUAAAACCCCUGACAAUGAAAUACGGGAUAGAAAAACAGGAAACAAUUUCACAACCAAUCACUUACUCAAACCAACGAAGUUACAGACGAAGGCCUACAGCCAAAAGUCUACGAAAGAUCGACUCUUAAAAAUGAACUGUCCUACGACCUACAAGUCGGACAUGCUCUCCAAUCCUUAUGACUUCACCUCUGCAACUCCUCAAGGCCAACCAAAGCUAUCUGGCCGCUCCGUCCACCGGGGACCUGAAAUGGUUAUUCAAUAACCACUGAGACAACGUCUCAGCAAGUUCAACCCCCUAAACCCCUAUUAGAAAGAAAAUACGCCCAAAGGUGGCCUAAUCACAUCACACAGAGAACUUACCUCACCUCAAUUCCUUCCUGCAGGUUAGCACAAUUUGUAUCACAUAAUCUCAAGUAGUAAUAAUAAUUCAAACAAUUGGAACGCCAUCACUUUCAUAUAAAUCACGAUCGCACUUAGCACGCAUUCCAAUUAUUAUUCACUGUCACACAAUGGCAUAGCCCACUCACAGGUCGACUAUCUAUUAACAUUACGACAUUUCGAGAAGAAUAAGCCACGUCAUUCUAUCGACGGCAUUUCUAGAAGAAUAAAGGUCCAGUUGGUCUCGCCACUACUGCGACCAAGCCACGUCGUUCUAUCGACAACAUUUCUAGAAGAAUAAAGGUCCAGUUGGUCUCGCCACUACUGCGACCAAGCCACGUCGUUCUAUCGACAACACUUCUAGAAGAAUAAAGGUCCAGUCGGUCUCGCCACUACUGCGACCAAGCCACGUCGUUCUAUCGACAGCACUUCUAGAAGAAUAAAGGUCCAGUCGGUCUCGCCACUACUGCGACCAAGCCACGUCGUUCUAUCGACAGCACUUCUAGAAGAAUAAAGGUCCAGUCGGUCUCGCUACUACCGCGACCAAGCCACGUCGUUCUAUCGACAGCACUUCUAGAAGAAUAAAGGUCCAGUCGGUCUCGCCACUACUGCGACCAAGCCACGUCGUUCUAUUGACAGCAUUUCUAGAAGAAUAAAGGUCAAGUCGGUCCCGCCACUACUGUGACCCGAGCCUUUCAACUAGCACACGACCAUUCGAUACCGAUCCUUGUAUACUUUACAUUCCACUCACAUAAUCCAAUUACAAUAUUAGCCAUUAACAAUCCAAUUUCAAUGCCGAACUCGACACUUGCGAUUUUAUGAAUAAAAUCCAUAUUUAUUACAAUCAACAUUCAAUUUGCCACAAUCAAUCAUCAAAUUCAAAUUCUAAAUACACAACAACGAUCGGCAUGAAAUUCUGAGAGUUUAGGGUCCCGACGAAAUUUUUGAAUUUUAAUAAAUAAUAAAUUUUAUUCCAAAAAUUAAUUAAAUAAUAAUAUCCAUAUUUUUCGCAAUCCACGCUCAAUUUAUAAUAUCCAACCAUCAAUUUCAAAAUCCGAAUACACAGCAGCGAUUGGCACGAAAUUCUGAGCAACCGGGGUCAAAAAUAAUUUUUUCGUUUUUUUUUAAUAAUAAUAUUUUAAUAAUUUCGGAUUAUAAAAUAAUAUUAUAUUUUCCAGAAUUUCGAAGCAUUUAAAUAAUUCAAAACUAAAAUCCUUUUAUGUCACAUCAAGGCUUAACUUUAAAUAAGUUCUUUUAACGUUUAAUUUAAACACACUUAACAUAAACCAACCUCUUAAUCCAAUUUAUAAUUAAUUACACUAAUCCACCCACAUAAACUUACUUAAUUCCAACUAAGCACACUUAGGGCAUCAUUAACACUCUAAUCAAGAUUUAGUGAGUUAAACUCAUCGGAUUAGUGAGCCGAGCGAACCAAAACGACGAGGACGACGAGGGGAUCGGCUUUCUCCAAAGCGAGCCAAGCAUCCGGGGUCGGGAAGCCAACCAAAACGGCCCAACACUUGCUGCCAUACCCAUUUUCUGCAGCUGCUGUCCACUGUUCGAUGAGGCCGAGAAUGGGCGGAUCUAGGGCUUGGAUGAGAUGGAAAAGGACCGGGGAAGGUUGAGGGGUCGAACCGGACCAAGGCGGGACCCGAACGGUGGCCGGAGGUGGCCGACUGGCUUCGGCACGAGCUGUUGCAGCAGCUGCGACGCCAGGCGAGUGGGAGGCGGAGACGGUGCGACGGCGGGCCGGCGAGCGCGCGUAGGCGGGGCGGGACGGACGCACGGCGGCGGCGGCGACGACGGCGUGCGAGCGGGUGGCCGGCCAUGGCUGCUCCUUCUUCUUCUCUGCAAAUUUUUCUUGUCCUUCGCACAAAGAACAUGGGGGAGUCGCACGGAAGAGAGAGAGGAAGAAGAGAGGGAGGAGAGAGAAGAAGGGGGGGCUUUUUCU